CUCGUUACACGAUGUUAACUUUCAUUAGGGCUGUACUGUAGUAUCCAUAUCACGGAACCGAGGGGAAUCGAUGGCAUUUUGCCUUAAUCGUUGCACCCUGAGCCUGCCAUGAGCCAACGCAAACUCGAUUUCUCGGCGACGAAGAAAACAGAAAACAGAAAAAGAGGGAUUUAAGACACUUGGCCUACAGGCCAGUGUAAUUAACAAAUCCGUCAUUAAACCAAAACAUUGCCAUUGGUUGGUUGGGCGAAAAAUAAUAAAUGCACACAUAACGAUGAACUGACAAUUUAUUGCAUAAGGGAAGACAGAAACAUGCAUAAUGAGCACAUUUUUGUGUCCAUAGAGUUACCUAACUUUUGUCAUUAUAUUGACAGUUGUUGGGACGAUCACUCUCCAUGAAGGCACUGGACACUAGUGUCGAAAGGUUACGUCGUGAAUGCAAUUCAACCAGGAUUCCCUCAACAACACCUAACGGUUGUCAGCGAGGGUACACUCGUGCGCGAUAUAUC